rnacentral:rRNA from 1 species
GACGAACGCUGGCGGCGUGCUUAACACAUGCAAGUCGAACGGUAAGGCCCUUCGGGGUACACGAGUGGCGAACGGGUGAGUAACACGUGGGUGAUCUGCCCUGCACUUCGGGAUAAGCCUGGGAAACUGGGUCUAAUACCGGAUAGGACUCCGGACUGCAUGGUCUGGGGUGGAAAGCUUUUGCGGUGUGGGAGGGGCCCGCGGCCUAUCAGCUUGUUGGUGGGGUGAAGGCCUACCAAGGCGACGACGGGUAGCCGGCCUGAGAGGGUGACCGGCCACCCUUGGACUGGGAUACGGCCCAGACGCCUACGGGAGGAAGCAGUGGGGAAUAUUGCACAAUGGGCGCAAGCCUGAUGCAGCGACGCCGCGUGAGGGAUGACGGCCUUCGGGUUGUAAACCUCUUUCGGCACAGACGAAGCGCAAGUGACGGUAUGUGCAGAAGAAGGACCGGCCAACUACGUGCCAGCCGCCGCCGUAA